AGUGAACGCUGGCGGUAGGCCUAACACAUGCAAGUCGAACGGCAGCACAGGAGAGCUUGCUCUCUGGGUGGCGAGUGGCGGACGGGUGAGGAAUUCAUCGGAAUCUACUCUGUCGUGGGGGAUAACGUAGGGAAACUUACGCUAAUACCGCAUACGACCUACGGGUGAAAGCAGGGGACCUUCGGGCCUUGCGCGAUUGAAUGAGCCGAUGUCGGAUUAGCUAGUUGGCGGGGUAAAGGCCCACCAAGGCGACGAUCCGUAGCUGGUCUGAUAGGAUGAUCAGCCACACUGGAACUGAGACACGGUCCAGACUCCUACGGGAGGCAGCAGUGGGGAAUAUUGGACAAUGGGCGCAAGCCUGAUCCAGCCAUACCGCGUGGGUGAAGAAGGCCUUCGGGUUGUAAAGCCCUUUUGUUGGGAAAGAAAUCCAGCUGGCUAAUACCCGGUUGGGAUGACGGUACCCAAAGAAUAAGCACCGGCUAACUUCGUGCCAGCCGCCGCCGUAA
rnacentral:rRNA from 1 species